rnacentral:rRNA from 1 species
AAUAGAUACCCUGGUAGUCCACCCCGUAAACGUUGGGAACUAGUUGUGGGGUCCUUUCCACGGAUUCCGUGACGCAGCUAACGCAUUAAGUUCCCCGCCUGGGGAGUACGGCCGCAAGGCUAAAACUCAAAGGAAUUGACGGGGACCCGCACAAGCGGCGGAGCAUGCGGAUUAAUUCGAUGCAACGCGAAGAACCUUACCAAGGCUUGACAUACACCAGAACACCCUAGAAAUAGGGGACUCUUUGGACACUGGUGAACAGGUGGUGCAUGGUUGUCGUCAGCUCGUGUCGUGAGAUGUUGGGUUAAGUCCCGCAACGAGCGCAACCCUCGUUCUAUGUUGCCAGCACGUAAUGGUGGGAACUCAUGGGAUACUGCCGGGGUCAACUCGGAGGAAGGUGGGGAUGACGUCAAAUCAUCAUGCCCCUUAUGUCUUGGGCUUCACGCAUGCUACAAUGGCCGGUACAAAGGGCUGCAAUACCGUGAGGUGGAGCGAAUCCCAAAAAGCCGGUCCAGUUCGGAUUGAGGUCUGCAACUCGA